rnacentral:rRNA from 1 species
GUGGGGAAUAUUGCACAAUGGGGGAAACCCUGAUGCAGCGACGCCGCGUGGAGGAAGAAGGUCUUCGGAUUGUAAACUCCUGUUGUUGAGGAAGAUAAUGACGGUACUCAACAAGGAAGUGACGGCUAACUACGUGCCAGCAGCCGCGGUAAAACGUAGGUCACAAGCGUUGUCCGGAAUUACUGGGUGUAAAGGGAGCGCAGGCGGGAAGACAAGUUGGAAGUGAAAUCCAUGGGCUCAACCCAUGAACUGCUUUCAAAACUGUUUUUCUUGAGUAGUGCAGAGGUAGGCGGAAUUCCCGGUGUAGCGGUGGAAUGCGUAGAUAUCGGGAGGAACACCAGUGGCGAAGGCGGCCUACUGGGCACCAACUGACGCUGAGGCUCGAAAGUGUGGGUAGCAAACAGGAUUAGAUACCCGGGUAGUCC